CGUAGGUCCAAGCGCUGUCCGGAAUUAUUGGGCGUAAAGGGCUCGUAGGCGGCCUGUCGCGUCUGGUGUGAAAGCCCGUGGCUUAACUGCGGGUCUGCGCUGGAUACGGGCGGCUAGAGUGCGGUAGGGAGAAUGGAAUUCCCGGUGUAACGGCGGAAUGUGUAGAUAUCGGGAAGAACACCAAUGGCGAAGGCAGUUCUCUGGGCCGUGACUGACGCUGAGGAGCGAAAGCGUGGGGAGCGAACAGGAUU
rnacentral:rRNA from 1 species